AGCACUGAGAAUCCAGUUUGGGGCCUGGGACACGAAGGGCCCAGGCGGGGAAGGGUGGGGGGCUUGCAGGGGUGCCCGGGUGGGGGGCUGCAGGCGGGAGUGAGCAAACGUGCUGUCUCGCCACCUUGGGACAGGUGGUAGGGCCUCUGACAAAGAGUGGUCCUUCCUGCUGUUCACAGCUCAGCUCACCAUGGGCUGACCAUAGGCAGGUGACAGUCCCCUUUCUGGCCUCGGUUUCCCUGUCUGUAAAUUGGGGAUAAUAAGCUCAAGAGCUGUCCCUGCCAGAGCCCAGUGGACAGAAAUCCAGCAGCUGCUAUGGGAAGCGACCCGCCCAGCCUGCCCCGCCCUGCCCGGAGAAGCAGGCCUUCUGCUUGAGGGGGACUGGGCGCACGCUGGGCCUCUGGUCUGCGCAGUCUGCCCGGGGUCUGUGAGUGCUUGUGAGUGGGCUUCUCUGGUCUCCAGAUUCUCGUUGAAAUCCUAACCCCCAAGGCAAUGAUGUUAGGAGGCGGGGCCUCUGGGAGAUGGCGAGGUCAUGAGGCUGCAGCUCUCUUGAGUGGGAUCAGUAUCCUUCUACAAGCGGCUCCAGGGAGGUCCCUUGCCCCUUCCACCAUGUGAGGACCCGAGAUGGUGCCGUCUAUGAACCAGGAAGUGAGUCCUCUCUGCACGUGGAACGAGCUGGUGCCUUGAUUUUGAACUUGCAGCCUCGAGGUAUGAAUGUGAGCUCUGCUCUGGGCUCACUGCCUAUGGGGAGCCCUGCCUCACAAGGAGGGGUCCCUCUGCGUCUGCCAUGUAUGGCUGUUUCAAUCAAAGCUGCUGUCUAACACCACCUGCUCGCCCUUGAGUUCCUCCCUGGGCGAAGCCAAGCGACCUCCUGGACUGAGCCAGUUUUCGUGCCUGCCUGCCCUGGCUCAUUGGCCAGGGACCCCAUCCCGCCAUGUCCAGGCCUUGGUAAUACAGGACAGAAGUGCCCGUGCAGGUUGUGCCUGUGGCUGGGUCCCCAGGGGGAAGGUGGCACCCCCAGGCCAGCAGCCUCCUACCCUGAACUCCAGGCAACAUCGUCGGCCCCCUGGCACUGCACCUGCACCGUGGGCAGAGAAGGAGGGAAGGCUGGGAGAGAAGGAAGAGGUCGAAUGUCGCUGGAGGUCGGCGUCCUUCUACAGCCGUGGGUGAGCCGAUGCUUGGGGUGAGCAUGCUUCCUGCUGGAUGCUUCUCUAUGUAAGCACCUGCCUGAGUGUCAGCCCUCUUAAGGUGAACCGCUCAGUGUCAUUCGUACAUUCACAAGUUUGUGCCGCCAUCGUCAUGGUCUGAUUCCAAAACAUUUUCAUCACCUCCAAGAAAGCCUUGUACCUGGCAGCAGUCACUGUCUCUAUGGAUUUGCUUAUUCUGGACAUUUCAUAAAGAUAGAAUCAAACAGC